AAGACCUUGCACUUUUGGAGCGGCCGAUGUCUGAUUAGCUAGUUGGUGGGGUAAUGGCCUACCAAAGCUUCGAUCAGUAGCUGGUCUGAGAGGACGGCCAGCCACACUGGGACUGAGACACGGCCCAGACUCCUACGGGAGGCAGCAGUGGGGAAUUUUGGACAAUGGGCGCAAGCCUGAUCCAGCCAUGCCGCGUGAGUGAAGAAGGCCUUCGGGUUGUAAAGCCCUUUCAGCCGGGAAGAAAAGGUUGCGACUAAUAAUCGCAAUUCAUGACGGUACCGAAAGAAGAAGCACCGGCUAACUACGUGCCAGCAGCCGCGGUAAUACGUAGGGUGCGAGCGUUAAUCGGAAUUACUGGGCGUAAAGGGUGCGCAGGCGGUUUUGUAAGUCAGAUGUGAAAUCCCCGGGCUUAACCUGGGAACU
rnacentral:rRNA from 1 species